rnacentral:lncRNA from 1 species
AAUUUUGUCCUUUUCAAAGAUCAAUUUUGGCACAUCUUUUAUUAAUUCCUUCUUGACUAGUUUUGAUAUCAAUUCCAUACUAGCAUGUCCUAGUCUACGAUGCCAAAGCCAACUUGUUUCAUUUUUCUUUUCUUCAUUGGUACUUAAACAUAAUCCAUUUUUCUUGCCUAAUUCAUGAAGAUCUACCAUGUAGAUAUUUCUUUGCCUUUGUCCUAUAAGUACAAUGCUAUUAUCUUUAGGAUUUGUG